GUCCCUGUAGCGCAGGCCGGACAGCGCGCGCCGCUACGAACGGCGAGGUCCCAGGUUCGAAUCCUGGCAGGGACA
rnacentral:tRNA from 1 species